UGGGGAAUUUUGGACAAUGGGCGCAAGCCUGAUCCAGCCAUGCCGCGUGUCUGAAGAAGGCCUUCGGGUUGUAAAGGACUUUUGUCAGGGAAGAAAAGGACAGGGUUAAUACCUCUGUUUGAUGACGGUACCUGAAGAAUAAGCACCGGCUAACUACGUGCCAGCAGCCGCGGUAAUACGUAGGGUGCGAGCGUUAAUCGGAAUUACUGGGCGUAAAGCGAGCGCAGACGGUUACUUAAGCAGGAUGUGAAAUCCCCGGGCUCAACCUGGGAACUGCGUUCUGAACUGGGUGACUAGAGUGUGUCAGAGGGAGGUAGAAUUCCACGUGUAGCAGUGAAAUGCGUAGAGAUGUGGAGGAAUACCGAUGGCGAAGGCAGCCUCCUGGGAUAACACUGACGUUCAUGCUCGAAAGCGUGGGUAGCAAACAGGAUUAGAUACCCUGGUAGUCCACGCCCUAAACGAUGUCAAUUAGCUGUUGGGCAACUUGAUUGCUUAGUAGCGUAGCUNACGCGUGAAAUUGACCGCCUGGGGAGUACGGUCGCAAGAUUA
rnacentral:rRNA from 1 species